rnacentral:rRNA from 1 species
UUCAUAGAGUGUAAAGGCAUAAGGGAGCUUGACUGCGAGACCUACAAGUCGAGCAGGGUCGAAAGACGGACUUAGUGAUCCGGUGGUUCCGCAUGGAAGGGCCAUCGCUCAACGGAUAAAAGCUACCCCGGGGAUAACAGGCUUAUCUCCCCCAAGAGUUCACAUCGACGGGGAGGUUUGGCACCUCGAUGUCGGCUCAUCGCAUCCUGGGGCUGUAGUCGGUCCCAAGGGUUGGGCUGUUCGCCCAUUAAAGCGGUACGCGAGCUGGGUUCAGAACGUCGUGAGACAGUUCGGUCCCUAUCCGUCGUGGGCGUAGGAAAUUUGAGAGGAGCUGUCCUUAGUACGAGAGGACCGGGAUGGACAUACCUCUGGUGUACCAGUUGUCGUGCCAACGGCAUAGCUGGGUAGCUAUGUGUGGACGGGAUAAGUGCUGAAAGCAUCUAAGCAUGAAGCCCCCCUCAAGAUGAGAUUUCCCAACUUCGG